AGAGAGGGAGAGGAAGAGGGAGAGCAACUACCAAAGCAAUCUAAAUUAGAUUAUAACACGAAAGAAGACCACCAGGCGAACACAGUUCCUGCUAUAAUUCACAAAUGAAGCAGCCCACGGCAUGUUGCUCUCCUCCACCAAAUCCAAAUGAGUAUGUAAAUGAACUUGCCACUGCAAAAAUAGAUAGCAAAUCACCCAAAUGAAUUUUAGGAAAAAAAAAAACGAAAUGAAUAAUCCCAAUUAUUAAACGCAUAACACUUAAUUGUCCAAUCAAUGAACCAUUUCCCUAUCAAGCACACAGCCUAAAGAGCACUAAUCAGCAAAACAAAAGAGGAAACAACAAAAGCAUAGCCCUUCAUCUCAAAAAGAAAAAAAAAGAAACCUAUAGUCUAUUGAGAUAAAAGGUUGAAGCCUUGAAAUCAUGACAAUAAUCGAAUUUUAGAUAUUUUGGGUCUUAACCAAAAAAACUCAAGUAAACAAAGCUUCAGCAAACUCAUCUGUCUUCCAAUUUCUUCAAAUUUCCUAGCAACCAAACAGCUUAAACCAUAAACACAUAGAUCAACAAAACCAGGACUGAUUGCAGAUCAAGAUUACAUUAAAAAAAUAAUAAUAAAUAAAAAUCCUAGCUUCGUAGCAAAAUUGACCAAUCAACAAUUAAAAAAUGAACUUGACACACCCACCAGCACAAACA
rnacentral:misc_RNA from 1 species